UGGGUGUCCAACACUUCUCCUCCCAGGAGUCCUGGGUUGACUGAGAAAGCUUCAGCACAAGGCAGGCGGCCUUGGGUUCCCAUACCUCUGAGUGAGUGUGUUGUGGGAGCCCCCGGAAGCCAUUUGGAAAGGAAGGUCUCCCCCUCCCCUUUCUUUUUCAGGCUCCCUCCCUAUUUGGGCCCAGCCUCUCUUCCCAUCUUCCUCUUUCUCCCUGGGUUUUGUCCCAUGGGGGGAGCUCAAGGGGAGGCUCUGCAGUCCCCUUCCCGUCCAGGACUUGUCCUCUCUGGGAAAGCCAGGGUGUGGUAGGGGAAGCCAACGGCCCCAAACCCGCUCCCACCUGUCCCAAGAGCACCCUCCUGGCUUCACCAGCCCCCCAGGGCUGUGUGCUCCAGGCGGCAGCAAGGACUUGCUGGGGUAUGUAACUGGCAGACCCCUGCUAUCCCGGGGCUUCCAGUUUAGAGGAGGACACAGGUACUCAACAAGCCUUCUGGUGGCCAGUGUCGUGUUUUUAGUUGAGCACAUGGCCCUUCCAGGUUAAGUGUGACCACGAGGCUAAUCUGUUCGAAGAGACGUGCACACAAGUGUUUUUGGGGGCUCUCCAUGCCCCACUGGAUGGUGAGAGACUUUGGAGCUCCAGUGCCCAGCGUGGCAGUGGACACCAGUGGAGCCUGGCCAGUACCCGGUCCGAAACCAAAGCACCCCCUCCCCCAUCACAAGAGUGUUGUCUGCUCGCACACAGUUCAGUUGAGUCUUUCCCUAGAAAGCACUUUGUCCAAAAUUAUGCCUCCUCCCUGGGGUACCCAAUGGAGGUCUUCAUCCAAUGGGGUGGGAUGACAAGCCCAGCUCCCGGCCUCCAUGGGGGCAACUUGGAAGGCCACCCUAGCUCCAAGUGCUCCUGCGAGACUGGCUGGCUCCUGUGCUGGGGCUGCAUCACCUUUGCCCAGUCUUGCUUCCGUCCUCCCUUCCAUGAGGGUUCAUCCCAAGAUCAUCCCUAAAACACCUGUCUGCAAAUGUCUGCCUCAGAGUCUGCUCCUGAGCAAUCCAACUCAGGGCGGAAGCUGUCUUAUGCUGUGAUGGGAGCAGCCUGGGGACUACAGUGACGUGAACAGUACAAGAAGCCUGAGUUCUCCAAAUCCACUAACGACUAUGUUAGCCCUGAAUCCUCAACUCCCACCGUACAGAAACAAACCUGCAGUGGAGUUUGAACUCUCUAUCGUCUAAACACGUUCUGACGGACGUAGAAUUCGUUAUCAAGACGUAGAAUGUUGACAUGGCAAAACUGUGAGCACGAGGCACUGGGCAGCUGGCCGAUACCCCAGGUGGCAAAGCUGAGGACCAUGUCAUGCAGAACAACUGGAAACACCAUCUCCCGUGGUAUUUGAGAAGACCAGUCACGUGUCUAUGGAGCCUCUCGUCCUAGAGCAAAGGGGUUGGAAAAGGUGCAAAGGCUGGUGGGGAGAGUCUUCCCCGCACAUUUAGCAAGGACUUUGUGAGACGUGGGCUCAGAAUAGAGACAGCCGUCUGCCAGCAGAGGGGAAAGGGGAUGGAGCUCUGUUCAUGGAGACCAGUCCUGCCUGUGGCCGGGCGUCUAAGUUGGUGAAGAAUCCAGUAUUGGAAGCUUCCACGUGCUGAGAAAGCCAACUACUCUUGUACCCCGAACUGAAGCGAUGACAUGAGGGGCCCCUCAAGAGGCGGCUUCCCCAGGAGAUAAGACCGCGGUCUGAGCCUUUCCCGAGCAGCUCAGUGAAGAACGCCCCUCCAGAUGAGAGUCAGUCCAGCGGUCCAGAUCCCAUGAAAGUCCUCAGGUGCAGAGAAUAUGAGAAUAAACAGCCUUCCUUGAGAGGGCUGCAGGGAGAUCGUGGCUCAAGACCAGAAGAGGAGGAAACAUUCCAAGAAGAGGUUGAAAGCAGGGGAGUGUGCUGAAUGGUGCAAGAGCUCCAGAGCACGCUGCUCAAGAGAAGAGGAGAGGGGAUGGCUGGCGAGGCCAGCAGGCGGGCCGGGGCUCUAGGGAGACAGGCAAGCUGUGAUGGGAAGGGAGACCCUCGCUCUCACGGAAAGUCAACCUUGGCUAUCCCUCCCAAGCUAGGAGCAGGGUCAUUGCUCAGCCUGAUGCCUCCCAUGCCACUGUGUCAUCAGUCUUGUUUGUCCCUCAAUCUU